UGGGGAAUAUUGCACAAUGGGGGAAACCCUGAUGCAGCGACGCCGCGUGAGCGAUGAAGUAUUUCGGUAUGUAAAGCUCUAUCAGCAGGGAAGAAAAUGACGGUACCUGACUAAGAAGCCCCGGCUAACUACGUGCCAGCAGCCGCGGUAAUACGUAGGGGGCAAGCGUUAUCCGGAUUUACUGGGUGUAAAGGGAGCGUAGACGGCCAUUCAAGCCAGAUGUGAAAGCCCGGGGCUCAACCCCGGGACUGCAUUUGGAACUGUGUGGCUAGAGUGUCGGAGAGGCAGGCGGAAUUCCUAGUG
rnacentral:rRNA from 1 species